UGACGGCGCUGCGCUGGCGUCAUCAGGCCGCGCCCUCGCGCUGCAGUUGCCGCAGUCUGCGAGGGGACCCGGCGUGGGCAUGUGUCAGGUGGGAGAGGACUACGGGGAGCCGGCGCCCCGGGAGCCGCCCCCGGCUCCGCGGCCUAGCCGCGAGCAGAAGUGUGUGAAGUGCAGGGAAGCCCAGCCGGUGGUGGUGAUACGAGCCGGAGAUGCCUUCUGCAGGGGCUGUUUCAAGGCCUUCUACAUCCACAAGUUCAGAGCCAUGCUGGGCAAGAACCGGCUCAUCUUCCCAGGCGAGAAGGUGCUCUUGGCGUGGUCUGGGGGGCCUUCGUCCAGCUCCAUGGUCUGGCAGGUCCUUGAGGGCCUAAGCCAAGAUUCUGCCAAGAGGCUGCGUUUUGUGCCAGGGGUCAUCUUUGUUGAUGAGGGAGCAGCCUGUGGCCGGAGCCCGGAGGAGAGAGCGAAGACCCUGGCUGAAGUGAAGCCCAUCCUGCAAGCAAUUGGGUUCCCGUGGCACGUGGUGGCCUUAGAGGAGGUGUUCAGCCUGUCGCCGUCGGUGCUGCGGUGCUCUUCCCAGGAGCCAGCGGCUCCCGAGGAGGCCUACAAGGCGGCCGUGGACAGCUUCCUCCGGCAGCAGCAUGUGCUGGGGGCAGGGGGUGGGCCUGGCCCGGCUCAUGGGGAGGAACAGCUGCCCCAGCCCCGUGCCCAGCUCCCGCAGAACCCCCCGAGUCUGCUGAGACCACCUGCUGCUGCCCAGACUGAGGCUCUUUCCCACCUGUUCUGCUCAGUGAGGACACUGACAGCCAAGGAGGAGCUUCUGCAGACCCUGCGGGCCCACCUGAUCCUGCACGUGGCCCGCGCUCACGGCUACUCCAAGGUCAUGACUGGGGACAGCUGCACCCGCCUGGCCAUCAAGCUCAUGACCAACCUGGCGCUGGGUAGAGGGGCCUUCCUGGCUUGGGACACGGGCUUCUCCGAUGAGCGGCACGGGGACGUGGUGGUGGUGAGACCCAUGCGGGAGCACACCCUGAAGGAGGUCGCCUUCUACAACCGGCUGUUCUCCGUCCCUUCUGUCUUCACGCCAGCCGUCGAUACCAAGGCCCCUGAAAAGGCCAGCAUCCACCGGCUGAUGGAGGCCUUCAUUCUCCGGCUGCAGACCCAGUUUCCCUCCACCGUCAGCACUGUGUACAGGACAAGUGAGAAGCUGGUGAAGGCCCCCCGGGACGGCCCUGCCACCGGCGACCACAGCCCUCGCUGUCUGCUGUGCAUGUGCGCCCUGGACGUUGACGCCGCUGACAGUGCCACGGCUUUUGGGGUUCAGACCUCCUCACAUCCCUCCCAGAUCCAGUUGCCCACCUCCCUGACUGACACCGGGACUCCCCAGGAGUCGCCCAUUGCCCUGAUUGAGACCAGGACACCCCAGGGGCCCUGCUGUUUCCCGGGGGGGCCCCGGGCCCAGGGCUGUUGCCAAGGGGCCUCCAGGAGCUCUGCUCCUGCAGGGAGGACCCCCAAGCCUGCAUUGUGGAGCAGCUGUGCUAUGGCUGCCGUGUGAACAUGAAGGACUUGCCCUCGCUGGAGCCCCUGCCACAGUACAUCCUGGCCGAGGCCCAGCUCCGCACCCAGAGGGCCUGGGUGUUGGCAGAGCUCCGGGACUGUCUGAUUGAGGACAGUGACGAUGAGGUGGGCCAGAGCUGAGGACAUGCUCUCUGGGACAGCAGGUGCAGGGUCCACCACACUGCGGCUAGAAGGCAAGGAUGGGGUCGGCCCCUCAGUGUCCAUUUGUAUAAAUAAAACCUUUUUAAUU